rnacentral:lncRNA from 1 species
AACUAACAUCGUUAUCAGAAACUUAAUUUGUAUCCUUAAGUUGAAUUAUCAUGUUUUUGGACAUCACCUACAUCUCUAGAACUCUCUAGCCCUAUAUCCCUGCAUCAUGGCCUCAUCCCCGAGUCCCAAACGAUUCGUGAUGACCCCUCCAAUCUCUUGACCUCCUCUACUAGUUAAAGAACCACCUCAGCACCAGCUGGGUCACUGCCUCCAUCGCUGCAAAGCAGAACUCCACCGUCGACAACCCCUUCCUGGAAAUCAUGGCUACCGACUUCAAUACUGCUGCUACUCGACCAUCGGUGCCUCUCCUCCGACAAUAGGUAGACUUCUAUUAGGUAGUCGUCCCCAACACCAUCGCAGGAACCAUAACAACCCUCCCCACUGCCUGCUUAGGCCCGCACACGCCUCACCGCUCUCAAGCUCACCCACCAAUGACUUCACCAUUACUCCCACAGGAACACUACCUUCAUCCUCCUCUACGAGUACCACCUCCCCUCUCGCCAAUUCCGCCCGGAUCCCGACUUGUCCUGGCCGGAGUAUGGGCUAACCACAGGAGGAGCAAAGGAGUUAAUAGAAAAGAAAAGAAAAGAAAAUUAGAGAUGAAAAAGUCCCCGGCCCCCAUGAAAAAAUAAACGUCAAUAAUAAUUGCUGUAAAAUAAAAUUGUGGGCCGGAUCUGGAAAAAAAUAAAAAAAACAAAGAAAACUUCAAGCGUUUAGCUAAUAGUAAAGAUAGGAGCAUGUAUUGAAUUUCAUAAUGACUUGAACCUCCUCCUCACUUUGAGAUGCGCUUAUGCAAUGGAUAGGGAUAAAAAAAGUAACCAAAAAUUUAUAAGCAUGUUUCUUCAAGUUUAGGCAUCUACACAUGAACCUUACAAAUUUAUAAAAUAUCAAUUAACAACUAAAAAGUCAAAUUGCUUGCACUAUAUCUAAACCAUUAAUGAAAUCAUAAAAAAAUUAAAAAUAUACUUAAUCC